CAAUUAAAGACUUUCUUUAUUUAAAAAAUUAAAUUUAAUUUUUUAAAGUGCAAAAGCAAAAAUGAAGAUUUGGGACAAGAAGACCCUAUGAAUUUUUAUUUAUUUAUAAUUUUUAAAAAUUAUAAAUAAAUUUGAUUGGGGCGAUGGAUAAAGAAUAGAUAUCUUUAUUUAAAUUUUAAAAAAUUAGUUCCGUUUAUAGCGAUUAAAUGAAAAAAAUACUCUAGGGAUAACAGCGUAAUAAUUUUGGAUAGUUCAUAUAGAUAAAAUAGUUUGCGACCUCG
rnacentral:rRNA from 1 species